rnacentral:rRNA from 1 species
AUGUACUUCGCUGCCCUGGGCAGCAAUAUCUUCAUGGCGAACAGCAAACACCCUGGCACCAUGGUCUACAACACAGAGACAGCUGGAUUGGCCAUCGGCCCUCCUCUCCCUGAUGGACUACUCGGAGGCAUUAAAAUCUUUGUGGCUACUGCCAACAUGCAGUUGUAUGUGUUAAAGUAUAACAUCAAGGAAAUGCGACAGUCAUUUGAGGUGCUGUCUGCGGUGGGCAUCAAGGAUCCACAUCCUUCAAAUCCAAGCAUGGACUGGUGCUGGACAAGCGUGCCCUCACCACUGCCAUUCACCAAGGAUGACAUGAUCAACUCCUACCCCAUGCACCCGGAUGGACACACUAUCUUCAUGUCUGCUAGCAGCAGGCGCUAUCUGCAUCGCACCUUCUCCUUUGACACCAGGUACCAAGAGUGGAGGUGUCUUGGGGAAUGGGCAUUGCCUUUCCAAGGACAAGGCUACUUUGACAGUGAGCUGGAUGCAUGGGUUGGCCUUCACAAGGAUGGGUACAUUUGUUCCUGCCAAGUCGCUUCCUGCACCGACGAAGGUACCAUGCAACCUGACUGGAAGAUGGGCAAGGAGAAACUUUUCCUCAAGCACUCGGAUGCCACCCUCACAUACAUGGGGAGCACCAGGUUUUGCCUUGUAGAGAGUUUGGUAUGUGAAGAACUGGAGUUUGAUGACGCCUUUGGUGACUGUAAUGGCUUCAUGCUCUGCAUCACCAUUUUUGGUGUCAAGUACAAUCGUGAGGGAGAGCUGCAAACCACCAUCCGCCGCACCACCAAAUCCUAUCAAGUGUCUAAGCAUGUCUUGUCAUUUUCUCCUGUGGCGUUCUGGUUUUAG